rnacentral:rRNA from 1 species
CCUACGGGUGGCAGCAGUGAGGAAUAUUGGUCAAUGGGCGGGAGCCUGAACCAGCCAAGUCGCGUGGGGGACGAAGGUCCUAUGGAUUGUAAACCUCUUUUGUCGGGGAACAAAUGCGCCUACGUGUGUGCGGAUGAGCGGAUCCGUACAAAACGCAUCGGCAAAUUCGGUGCCAGCAGCCGCGGUAAUCCGGAGGAUCCGAGCGUUAACGGAUUUUAUUGGGUUAAAAGGGUGCGUAGGGGGACAAUAAAGUCAGCGGGAAAAAUGCGGUGCUAAACGCCGUACUGCCGUUGAAACGGGGAGUCUUGAGUGGACGAGAGGUAAGCGGAAUGCGUGGUGUAGCGGUGAAAUGCAUAGAUAUCACGAAGAACACCGAUUGCGAAGGCAGCAUACCGGAGCCCAACUGACGCUGAGGCACGAAAGCGUGGGUAUCGAACAGGAUUAGAUACCCCAGUAGUC